rnacentral:rRNA from 1 species
UACGUAGGGUGCAAGCGUUAAUCGGAAUUACUGGGCGUAAAGCGUGCGCAGGCGGCUUUGCAAGACAGAUGUGAAAUCCCCGGGCUUAACCUGGGAACUGCAUUUGUGACUGCAUGGCUGGAGUACGGUAGAGGGGGAUGGAAUUCCGCGUGUAGCAGUGAAAUGCGUAGAUAUGCGGAGGAACACCGAUGGCGAAGGCAGUCCCCUGGACCUGUACUGACGCUCAUGCACGAAAGCGUGGGGAGCAAACAGG